UGGGGAAUAUUGGACAAUGGGCGCAAGCCUGAUCCAGCCAUGCCGCGUGAGUGAUGAAGGCCCUAGGGUUGUAAAGCUCUUUCACCGGUGAAGAUAAUGACGGUAACCGGAGAAGAAGCCCCGGCUAACUUCGUGCCAGCAGCCGCGGUAAUACGAAGGGGGCUAGCGUUGUUCGGAUUUACUGGGCGUAAAGCGCACGUAGGCGGACUAUUAAGUCAGGGGUGAAAUCCCGGGGCUCAACCCCGGAACUGCCUUUGAUACUGGUAGUCUUGAGGUCGAGAGAGGUGAGUGGAAUUCCGCGUGUAGAGGUGAAAUGCGUAGAUAUUCGGAGGAACACCAGUGGCGAAGGCGGCUCACUGGCUCGAUACUGACGCUGAGGUGCGAAAGCGUGGGGAGCAAACAGG
rnacentral:rRNA from 1 species